rnacentral:rRNA from 1 species
CUACGGGACGCUGCAGUGAGGAAUUUUGCGCAAUGGGGGAAACCCUGACGCAGCAACGCCGCGUGAGUGAAGAAGGCCUUCGGGUCGUAAAGCUCUGUCAGAUGGGAAAAAUGCCUAUUGAUGAAUAGUUGGUAGGUUUGAUGGUACCAUCAGAGGAAGCACCGGCUAACUCCGUGCCAGCAGCCGCGGUAAUACGGAGGGUGCCAGCGUUGAUCGGAAAUAUUGGGCGUAAAGGGUGCGUAGGCGGUUUUCAAGUCAGAAGUGAAAGGCAAUGGCUCAACCAUUGUAAGCUUUUGAAACUGUAACAAUUGAAUGCAGGAGAGGUAAGUGGAAUUCCUAGUGUCACGGUGAAAUGCGUAGAUAUUAGGAGGAACACCAGUGGCGAAGGCGACUUACUGGACUGUUAUUGACGCUGAGGCACGAAAGCGUGGGGAGCGAACAGGAUUAGAUACCCGGGUAGUC